AUUCAUAAUUCAUUUAUUGUAACCAGUUAGAAUUAAUUACUUUUGCAAUAUCAAUAAUAAUCUAUCUAUAUAUAGAAGCAACACCAUCUUAUCAAAGCCAGAAACAAUAAACUGAGAACAAAUAUGUCAGAAAAUAUGGCUAAACAGAUAGAAAGUAUUCCAUUGAUGAUAAUUUUGAUGCUAAUAUUGAUCUCUAACAAUUCACAUUUGGUAUUUUGUAAGUUGGAUCAAGAAUGUUAUAAGAGGUGUGUUCUUACCUGUCAUAUAAGUAGUCCUGAAUGUUUCACAACCUGUGAAAUAUUAUGUGACAAAUCUCUUAAUUAUACUUCUCCUAUGCGCAUGAAUUGCAACCUUGAUUGUUCAAUUCACACGUGUGCAAGUUUAAUCAAAGAUGACAAACAAUGGAGAGGUUGCAUGAAUGAUUGCUUCAACAAUCAUUGCAAAAAUUAGAGCUUAGAGGAUAUAUAGUCUUCAAAGCUUUGUUCCAUGAUGUUAGUUUUUGUAAGAUAAAAGCUAAUGUAUGAAUUAUAAGUGUCAACAUUUAAUAGUAGAUGUUUUUCUUGAUACUAUAUUUCGAUUAAUAUUCACAA